UACGAAGGGAGCUAGCGUUGUUCGGAAUCACUGGGCGUAAAGCGCACGUAGGCGGAUGUGUAAGUCAGGGGUGAAAUCCCGGAGCUCAACUUCGGAACUGCCUUUGAUACAGCACGUCUUGAGUCCGAUAGAGGUGGGUGGAAUUCCUAGUGUAGAGGUGAAAUUCGUAGAUAUUAGGAAGAACACCGGUGGCGAAGGCGGCCCACUGGAUCGGUACUGACGCUGAGGUGCGAAAGCGUGGGGAGCAAACAGG
rnacentral:rRNA from 1 species